UUAUCUAGCAGCUUGUUGCAAUCGACAAGUGUAUAUGAUGAUGCCACAGUGAGUCGAGUAUCAGCGCGAACCGAAGCGUUUUUGCGCAUAAGGAUGAUCGUUAUUCGUACAUCUUU
rnacentral:snoRNA from 1 species